CGCGUAGGCGGGUCAGCAAGUCCGGGGUGAAAUCUUUCGGCUCAACCGGAAAAGUGCCUCGGAUACUGCUGGUCUUGAGGGAGGUAGGGGUUUGUGGAACUUCUGGUGGAGCGGUGAAAUGCGUUGAUAUCAGAAGGAACGCCGGUGGCGAAAGCGACGAACUGGACCUCUUCUGACGCUGAGGCGCGAAAGCUAGGGGAGGCAAACG
rnacentral:rRNA from 1 species